AGUUAUGCUACGGACCAUUUAAAAUUAAUUACGAUUUUCGAUUCAUUCAAUUAUAUUUCAUUAAAAAUACCCCUCUAGAAAAUUCUUUGGAGACGCCUAUUUAAUCGCCUAGGUGCCUAUUUUCGCAGCGAAGCAAGAGGAAAGCACCGCGCAUGUUUCUAUCGGAUCGAUACGAAUCGAUUUCCGAUAACAUUGAACAGCAGUUGGUCAGGAAACGGCUCGAAGGGCGGAUGGCGCGCCGCUAGUAAGGUUAUUCCCCCUUUUAAGUGACGGGAUUGAAACAAAUUUUCGAUGGAAAUCAAAUAAUUAGAAGGAAAUCAAGCGUUAGCUAAUCCCAUCUACAAAACUAGAUAACCAAAGUUAAACAUCUCUUUGGACUUCUUCACAUAACAGAAGUGGAUAUUCCGGCGUGCCUGCCUUGUUUCAAUCCCGUAACUUAGUUAUUUAGUCACACAACGUGACUCUAUCACGUUGAUUAUGUACUACCUAGUUAGAUUGCUAGCCACUCUGUGAUGGUUUAUCCCUAGAGUGGGCUGUUUUUGUUGGAUAAUACACCAUACCGGAUUUUAUUACAACCAGCAUCUUCACCCAGGACCUUGCAGUAGGACUUACUCACCACAGCAGCCAACCGUUUUAUCGUGCCAAAAGGGAAUUUCCUACGGAAUUCAUCUCUAUGGACUUGCAACCCUACUUUUAACCGGCUGUUGUGUAAAAGCUAAGUUUAUUUAUUUUUUCUGUAUUUACUUUUGGGUAAGAUAUAUUUGCUACAUUGUAAACUUUUCGUAUGCAUACGAUUAGGAAGAGUACAUAUAUUUUCGUGAUAGAUAGGGUUUUAGGUUGUUGUUUUUUUUUUCUUUUUGAUUCAGUAUAAGUAGGAGUUAAUUAAAAUAAAUAAAAUCAGGUCUUGUUUAAUAAUCAUAAAUAAUUGUAUCUUAAAAUUAGAUAGGGAAUCGGGUUGUAAAAUUUUGUCGUGGAGUUUAAAAUAGGGAAUACGUCUAGUAGGUUUUUUUUUGUAAAAUAUAUAAAGAGUCACUGACCAACUCAUUUAUAUAGACCUUUUUGCUAUUCCAACGGACUUUUGAUUUGGAUUUUGAUUUUAAUACUUUUGCUUGGCCAGUGAUAGUGGAUAAUUGCUUGUUGAGUGGCCUUUGCGGUCCUAUUUUAUCUUUUCCCCAUCCACUAUCACUGUUAUUACGUUGCGUUAUAUGUAAAGUGUUAACAUUUAAUAUUUAUUAUUAAUAUAUUUGUAUGUAUUAA
rnacentral:lncRNA from 1 species